ensembl:lncRNA
AUGCACAGUAGGGACGAUGGUUUGCCAACUAAUUUGUGUCAGGGUUGGCUGGUGUACAGCUCAGCUCAGGAUACUGACGGUCGGUGUAUCUGCACAGUGGUGGCUCCUGAACAGAACCUCUGCUCCAGAGACGCCAAGGGAAGACAGCUCCGCCAGCUACUGGAGAAGGUGCAGAACAUGUCCCAGUCCAUUGAGGUGUUGAACCUGCGGACCCAGAGGGACUUCCAGUACGUCAUGAAGAUGGAGAAUCAGAUGAAAGGGCUCCAGACCACGCUCAGACAGAUAGAAGACGACAGGAAGACCAUUAUAACCAGGAACUUCCAGGUACAGAACAUUACAGCACUAGUAUACAUUAAAGUACAGAACAUUACAAACCUGUCCAUGGUGCUCACAGCUAUUCAGGAGGAGAUGGGGGCAUACGACUAUGACGAGCUCUACCAGAGGGUCCUCAGACUGGACAGCAGGCUGCACAACUGCAUGGGCAAACUCACAUGUGGGAAAUUAAUGAAAAUCACUGGACCUGUAACAAUAAAGACAUCUGGCACCCGGUUUGGAGCAUGGAUGACUGACCCACAGGCCUCUCAGAGAAACAACAGGGUCUGGUACAUGGACAGCUACACCAACAGUAAGAUUGUACGUGAGUACAAGACCAUGGACGACUUUGUAGCUAACGUGGUGUCUCGAACCUACAACCUCCCAUUUAAAUGGGAGGGAACCGGUCACGUGGCGUACAAUGGGUCUCUGUAUUACAACAAGUACCAGAGUAACAUCAUCGUCAAGUACAGUUUUGAGACGGGUCGGGUGCUGGCUCAGCGGGCUCUGGAGUACGCCGGCUUCCACAAUACCUACCCUUACUCCUGGGGAGGAUACUCCGACAUCGAUGUCAUGGCCGACGAACUGGGCAUGUGGGUAGUGUACGCAACCAAUCAGAAUGCGGGAAAUAUCGUCAUCGCCCAGAUGGACCCGGACACCCUGGAAGUCCGGAAGACGUGGAACACGGAAUAUUCCAGACGGAACGCGGGGGAAUCCUUUAUGAUCUGCGGAACACUCUACAUCACCAACUCUCACCUGACGGGUGCUAAGGUCUACUACGCGUACUCCACCAAGACCUCCAGCUAUGAGUACACAGACAUCCCUUUCCACAACCAGUACUUUCACAUCUCCAUGCUGGCCUAUAACUCCAGGGAGAGGCACCUCUAUGGCUGGAACAAUGGACACCAGGUGCUGUUCAAUGUCACUCUGUUCCACGUCAUCAAAACCCAAGACGACUCCUAGAGGACACGGGAGAUGAAAUGUCACAAGUCCUCAUAUGGACACCGUAGAAAUGACAACAGCAACUUUCCAAGGCAAAGCGCCAUCAUUUGUGAUAUAAAAUGGGACCUUGUUGCUUACAACCUUGUUCAUGUUUUUCCUCACCUCCUCCCUAAAGUGAACUGCUCUGUCAUUACGUUGCCAUUACUUGAAGAAAUUGCCCUUUUUUGUAUUUUCUGGGCCAGAACACUUGAGGUGACUUGAACACAGACAGAAUGUCAUAUAUCCUAUUUCUCCUCUCUUCUUCUUUUUUUAUUUUCCCAUCUCUGCUGAAAUAGGAGUUUACUUUAUGGCCUUAUUUACUGCUGUCUUUACGUUCUCUAUGAUCCUCUUCUUUUCCCAUCUCUGCUGAAAUAGGAGUUUACUGUAUGGCCUUAUUUACUNUUACUGCUGUCUUUAGGUUCUCUAUGAUCCUCUUCUUUUCCCAUCUCUGCUGAAAUAGGAGUUUACUGUAUGGCCUUAUUUACUGCUGUCUUUACAUUCUCUAUGAUCCUCUUCUUUUCCCAUCUCUGCUGAAAUAGGAGUUUACUGUAUGGCCUUAUUUACUGCUGUCUUUAGGUUCUCUAUGAUCCACGGACUCUUGAUAGAUAUGUGCAUGAAUGUCUGACAUUUUGUCUGCUGUAAUUUACGAUGAUAUAGUGUAUUUUCAAUGUUUCCGUUCCAGAUGUCCUUCAGUUCUCACAGUGUUUGUAGUGACGUCUAUUGAUAGUAUUUAAACCUAGUUUGAGGUCCUCUCCAGAGUAUUUGCUGCCAUGUUACAUGAACAGUCUGAUUAUGGAAAACAUUGUGGUAACAAUUGUAUGUCUCUAUGCGAAAGCUAAGUAAACAUUUUGUUUGUUAUAAAAUACUGUAUCAAAAGUGUA